rnacentral:lncRNA from 1 species
UGUUGGUUGUCCCUACCUUUGAGACAUGCUCAAUUUGUUAAAUACUAAUCACACUACUUCAUCUCCACUUGAGUAGAUCUCUAUAAAUGCUGUCAUGCUACCUUUGUCUAUUUUCUAGCAAGUGUUGGUUUGGAAGUACUCGACAUACUUCCAUUGGCAUUUAAAUUGAGCAUGGUGCUUAGGUUAAAUAGCCUUCCUUAAUCUGAUUAGACAUGGAGUCUAGUUUGGUUAUUGAACUAAAAACUGCUUGAGUAGAUAUUGGUAUAUUUUGUCGGACUAACCCCUGCAGGAAAACUUUCAAUAUCAACCUGGGAAGUCCUGAGAUAAACUCACAUUGGAGACAAGGAGAGGGACACAUGAAGUUUAACAAUUUACACAAGGAAGACAUAGGUCAUAAGAGAUGAUCCAUGGAAGGUGCCACACACACGAUACACAACCACUACGAAUGGAAAGCUUCCACAAGGUGAUACUAUACCAUCACUCUUCAAUUAAGGUAACAUCUUAAGAUAUCUGACUAUCACUUUUAUAAGCUUCUCCUUGGUUCUGACAUUGACAUAAAUAAAGAGACAAACAUGUAUGAUUUAUAACUCUAAAUUAACCAACCCAACUGAUUCAACAUGUUUAGUCCCUUAAUCUAUGAUCCCACACUCCUAAUCAUAUGAGCUAAAAUGUUACACAUUCAAUCAUUGAGAGAUAUAAAGAAAAUGACAUAUACAUAGAUAGAUUAUCUUUCCAUAAGGUUGAGCGAUCUGAUCUGACAAAUAUUAUAAGUGCUACACUCAUGAACUUUUCAUCCAUCAAAUUUGUCUUGCUCACUAUGCUUAAGGUUGGAGACGAACAAAUACACUUUAGGUUCUGUUGGUGUUUUCCACCAACAGGACCCAUGCACUUGAUCUCUGCCUUGUCUCUAUGAGCAGGUACACUUCGAGCAAAACACGGAGGAGUUUUAUAACUCUCAGACUCUACCAAGUGAAGGACCUGGAUCUACGAGCACAAACACACUGAGCAGGAUACUGCCAAUGCCGCACUUCUAACUGCUGGGCAAACGAAGAGGUGCAGACGUCAAGGUCCGCGCCUGAAUCAAAUGACGCACCUGAAAAAUGAACACGGUGAGAAGUCUUGUUAAGAAGACUUAAAACAUUGAACCCUCGCCGAAAGGUAAGAUCAGUAGUUAUCCAUAUUUAUCAUUUCUGCAUUCCCUUUUCCCUUUAAUUAUUUACUUUCCUUAAAUAGAUUAUUAGUUAAUCAUGCUAUCUUGAAAAGAAAAUAAAAAUGUUAAAAAAAUACUAAGCCCCAUGUGAGUAUAUGAGUGGCAUAAAACCCAUAAGUACCUUCACUGUGGUGGCAUAAAAAUAAAAUAAAUAUUUCUUUUCUGCUUUAUAAAAUAAAAAUAUAAAAAUAGGGAGUAAUAUUUAUUGAGGAAGCUCAAUAUGAUGAAGGCUAGAUAUUUAUGUUAACACUUAAUUAGUUCCACAAGCUUUGUUGUCUAUUUGAGCUCCACAAAAUUUAAGAAUCAAGAAGACUAGCAGACGGAGGACAUUCUAAUCGCUGUCAGAAUGCUGCUGACGUUCAAAUACACCUCUGCCACCUGCUAGCUACAUCAAGAGAAAUUACGUCAAAAUUCAGCUUGGGGGAGAGCACCCCCAUUUAUCUCGCUAAAUAUUUCUACCUAUCUUUAUAAUUAUAUUAUGUUAGAAUAUUAAAAUACAUAAGCUAUGAAAAACCAAAUAAAGAUUUUGUGCUUAUAUAUAUCUUUUGCUUAGUGUGUUUAAUAAAUAAAUAAAGUGGCUAUGCUAAUCUGAAUCUUAAUAAUAAAACUCUAGCAUGGAUAUGAUGAAUAGUUGCUCUGCCUAAUUUGCACAUUUGAAGUUCUCUCUCAAGUUUAGACAUAACUGUUAUAAUUUAAAGCUUGCUCUAGAUCUAAACUUGUGGGAUGAAAACUUGAUCUGAAAUCUAAGUUGUUAACAGAUAUGAUAUGGGAAGGUUGAGCUGCUGUUUAUCUGUUCCUAGAGAUGCUAGAAUUCUGGAGAAUUUUAUCUUUGAAAAAUCUUUAAAAUAUUGCAUGAUGAGUUCCUGUAUGAUGAGAGUUUAAAUUCCUACCACAGCCAUAUAUACAUGCUUGCUAGACUUUGAGCCACACAUUUAUUAUUUACUGCUUAUGAGCAUUGAGUGUGGUUAAGCUUUGUAGACCCUUAGGAGCUUGUCAUGUGGUUAAAUCAAGAUUCACUUGCACGUUCACUCAUAUAUGCUACUUCUACUCUGGAAGUACCAUCCACAUAUAUCCAUCCAUGUCCAUCUCCAGAACCACCCAAAAAUAUUCUACUCCUAAUCCGUUCUGUUUUCCCUUGUGAAAUAAAUGCUCAAGUUAUCUUGCUACUACCACUUGCUAUAUUAUCUCAAGAGAUGAGUGCUCUAAAAAAAAGAAGAAAAUAGAAGAAAAGAAAAGAAAAAUAAUAAUAAUAAACGAGGAAAUAAAAAGGGGCAAGUGCCCGGAACCUCGAAAGAAAGAAAAAGUGAGACGAGAGGUAAAAAUGGACAAGUGUCCGACAGUAGAAUUAGGGGUACAAGAUACCCACCUGAGAGGAAAGAAAAAGAAGAGCAUCUCAUUCUCCUCAUAAAGUUUCAAAAAGCAAGGAAGGUAUGUAUCCCCUCAAAAGAGCAAAAGUAGAAUUAGACUUUCACCAUUGUUAUCACCAUCAUCACCAUACACCAUUCAUUCGCCACACAUGCACAUCUUGAUUUGGCUUAUUAAUUUGUUUCUUUGGCAUGGUUUGACUAUACAAUAAAUGUCUUGUAAGUAUGUAUACUUUAUCUCCCACCUAUGAGCUCCAGAUAUUAAAGCCUUAUUAGAGUAGGGUGAGAGAGAAGGCAAUGUCACUAUGCCUUAUACCACAAAUACCACAUAUCUUGAGAGAAGGCAUAUACCAUCACUGCCUUGGUAAGGAUCCAGAAAUACCACAAAAGAGAGAUUUAGAGAGUCAUACAAGGAAUCUCUGAGUUUUAUUUGAAAAUCUGCAAAAACUCCAGAGCUAUAGCUGAUCAAGAAUAAGAGACAUGACACUUGGCUAGACUGUUCUAUCUUUUAACUACUCAAGACAGAAGUGACGGUUGCAAGUCCCAUGGUGAAAGGUAAAGUAAGUAAGUUUUAGUUCUUGACAGUUUACUCUAACUCAGAGAUGAGAUCUUAUUUAAAAGCAUGUGUACCGUCAAAUUUUUAAGAUAUUGCAACAACUUCUGAUCCAUUGCUGAGUCUAUCCUUGCUUAGGGACGAGCAAGAGGUAAGCUUGGGGGAGUUUGUUGACGGUCCUUAAGUAUCAAAUUUAAUUAUCAAAUAAACAAAGAAAAGGAUCAAAAUGAAAUCAACAUCUAGACUUAGGGUUUUAUCUGACAGAAUUCCACGAGUUUUGGUGUUUGUCUAUUUCUGCAGGGGGUUAUCAGGAAAUAUGAAAGAAAGGCCCACACGUCGGGUUUACAUAGAGAUAUUAACAUGCCGCGCAAUUUUCUACCAUCUAGAAGACUCCAGAAGCCACGGGAACGAACGGGAGGCCGAUCGGGCCCGGGGGCAGGGCGCCCGCCCAAGUCCCUUGGGUGCCCGCCCAGCUACAGUAACCAAUCAGCUUCAACUUCGCGGAUCAUGCUCCACCGACCUAAUACUUCAAGGAAAACCACACGAUCAAUGUCGGUUUGAUCCGACGGCCCAGAUUCUUCUGAAAAGACUAUAUAACUAGACCCCCUGGCCCCUGGAGGAGGCACCCCUUGAUAAUUAUUCAUUAUUCAUAGACAGAGCAAAAGCUAGGGUUUAGAGAUGAGAGCUCUCCUCUCUUCUCUAAACUAGAGUAGAUCUAGAUAGUAGCUAGAUGGAGAGCGAAGGAGGAUUAGAGGAGAGGCCGGUCUGUCGGUUCUUCCUCCGGUUGUACUUCGUCAUGAUCAAGCUCUAAUCAAGCUUGCUCAUGGGAUGACUCUGGUAAUCUACUUCUAAUUCAUUAUGCAAUUACUAAUUAUGUAUGUUCUUGUUCACAACUCUUUUGAGUACUUUAAUCUAUAGGACGCUAUAGGUGAGAGUUGUAGUAUAGGUGUAAGCGAGGUGCUUAGAUCUAGAUUAAUUGUGGAUAUCCCCUGUCUAGCUGGAUCGUGUGGUAGGCCGCGUAGGUGACAGUUACGUUGGUCCUCUGUAGUCCACCUCUCGUUAGCAGGACGGGUAGGGUUUAUCGGCCUAUGGAUAAGCAUCCUUUGUGGUGUAAUCUUAUCACGUGGUUCGUCCCAGACAUAGACAUACCCCUUUGAAGUAGAGAAACCAUAGUUAUUCUCUCUAUUCUGCUACCAUCGCCCAUAUACUAGAAUUGCUCUACUCUCUAUUCACAUAUUAUCACGCACUGUUAUCUUACCUUUAAUAUUGUUCUUAUUUGAUUCUACCAUCUUUCCUAUUUACACUUAUUUACUUAUCUUGGUUAAGUUAGAGCGUAGAUCAGUUCUCCCGUUUCCCUGUGGAUACGAUAAAACCUUUAACCGGGUAAAAGCUUCAACGGUAUCCGUGCGCUUGCGGAUUAUCUGUGUGCGUAUAAAUACCAUAGUACACUCUAGUGCCAUGCUGGGGAUGACAACCUAGUAUUCAAGUGGUGUUAGCAAGUGUCAACAAGGAUUUUUGGCGCCGUUGCCGGGGAAACGGUUGCUGAGUUGACUACGAACUAGCUUAAUCAUUUUCUAAAAAAAAUAUAAAUAAAAAAAAUAUAUAUAUUUCCUUUUAUCCUUUGCCUCAUCUCUGCUAAUCUUUCUUCUUCUCUAAUCCUUGAUCUGUGGUCUAUCAUGAAUUCAAACAUGUCUAUCUAUGAAUUUCAUAGACCUACGGGCACACAUCUCGAACCACCAAAAUCUUCAAAGCCUAUCAUAGCAUCUAGUUUUGAGAUAGACCCCGAAUACAUAGAACUUGUUCAAAAACAACCUUUCUCAGGAGAAGGUGAGGAAAACCCAUACACACAACUAAGAGAGUUUUAUAGAGUCUGUGACCUCCUUCGCAUAAAAGGCAUGUCCGAUGAGACCCUUAAAUGGAAGCUUUUUCCGUUCUCUUUAAUGGGAAAAGCUAGACAUUGGUAUAAACUCAAAGUAGGGAGUGUUCAUGGAGAUUGGAAGGAGUUACAUAGUAGUUUUCUUUCUAAAUAUUUUCCAAUCUCCAAAGUGGUGGAACUUCGGCGUGAGAUUAUUUCUUUUAGACAAUUGGAAGAAGAAUCUCUUAGGAAAUCAUGGGACCGCUUUAUUAACCUUACUCUCACUGGCCCAAAGCUUUCUAUUCCAGAAGAAGUUCUUCUAAUUCACUUUUUUGAGGGCCUUAGUGGGGAAAAUAAGCAAACCUUGAAUACAGCCUCUAGAGGAUCCUUCUAUCACCUACCUGCUAGUGAAGCUUGGAAUUUGAUUGAUUUAUUAAGCGGAAAGUCUCCUAGCUUUAAUAUCCCUGAGAAAGAGACAGAACCAGUUCCUAGACAAGAAGAAGAAGUUUCGAGAGCCAGAUCAUAACCACUUCAAUUCCAAACUUUAGCUAUCAUUCCUAAACCAUCAAUACCCCAAAAUUCUCCAAGGGAGGAAGGAAUUCUGACCUUAAAUCUUUCAGAUGCUGAUGGUUUAGACUUCUGGUUCCAUAAGAGACCUUCAAGCAGGGAUAAUUCAAAUCCUCGCAAUAAUGGUUCUCUUAGAGAAUGUCCUGGUUCCUGUUAUGAAGAAGUCGAGGAUGACAUAUCAAGUGAAGGAGAGCUAAGCCAUAUUGAAAAUUCUAACACCUCCCCUUUCAUGAUCACAAGUUCUAAAUGGCUAGAAUGUGUAGAAUGGAUGCAUAAGGAAGAAGCCUUAAUGGAUUCUGACUUGGGCUCAAUUUCAAAUGGUGAGUUCUUGACUCCCUUUGAAGAUGGGAUUCAUCAAACUAUAGAAGAGGACAUAAGUGAGACGAAUCCAAGAGGAACUCUGAACAUUCAGAUUAGAGACGAAGAUAACAUUAAUGAGCAUGGAAUUUAUUUCAUAGCCACUUUGUUUACUCCAUGCUCAUAUGCAACAUCUUCCCAAUCUAUUGGUCUCUCCAACAUCACCACAUUUGAGAUCUCCAACCCCCUCUUCCUUUCUAUUUAUAAAAACUUUAAAAGGGCGGUUGUCGAUGUAUAUGUCUAUAAUAAAUAUUGCAGAUCUCGUUGAGUUAAUCUUGAUUUAGGUCAGCGUUGGAAGGGAAACCACUUCGCCGACAUAAAUUGAUGGUUUCCCAAGGACAAGCUUGGUGUCCUAAAAUAAGCACUGAUGAGAUCGUAACAUGAGUUUUUAAUUAUUUGCAACAUUACCUUGUGUAUUGAGCAUAUAAGGAUAAUUGUAAAAAUAUUCCUUUGGGUAUUCUUGUCACUAACCUUUCUAGGAUUGGAGCAAGAAGAUCGGAUGAAUGACAAGCACAAGGUAUGUCCAACCGAUCAUCAUACAACAUUGAAUUAAAUUCAUCCAAACUUGAAUUUUGCAAAAUUCAAGCUUGGGGGAGUACUUUACAUAAAAACAUCCUUUGCUAUGUUGCUAUGUUGGUUGUCCCUACCUUUGAGACAUGCUCAAUUUGUUAAAUACUAAUCACACUACUUCAUCUCCACUUGAGUAGAUCUCUAUAAAUGCUGUCAUGCUACCUUUGUCUAUUUUCUAGCAAGUGUUGGUUUGGAAGUACUCGACAUACUUCCAUUGGCAUUUAAAUUGAGCAUGGUGCUUAGGUUAAAUAGCCUUCCUUAAUCUGAUUAGACAUGGAGUCUAGUUUGGUUAUUGAACUAAAAACUGCUUGAGUAGAUAUUGGUAUAUUUUGUCGGACUAACCCCUGCAGGAAAACUUUCAAUAUCAACCUGGGAAGUCCUGAGAUAAACUCACAUUGGAGACAAGGAGAGGGACACAUGAAGUUUAACAAUUUACACAAGGAAGACAUAGGUCAUAAGAGAUGAUCCAUGGAAGGUGCCACACACACGAUACACAACCACUACGAAUGGAAAGCUUCCACAAGGUGAUACUAUACCAUCACUCUUCAAUUAAGGUAACAUCUUAAGAUAUCUGACUAUCACUUUUAUAAGCUUCUCCUUGGUUCUGACAUUGACAUAAAUAAAGAGACAAACAUGUAUGAUUUAUAACUCUAAAUUAACCAACCCAACUGAUUCAGCAUGUUUAGUCCCUUAAUCUAUGAUCCCACACUCCUAAUCAUAUGAGCUAAAAUGUUACACAUUCAAUCAUUGAGAGAUAUAAAGAAAAUGACAUAUACAUAGAUAGAUUAUCUUUCCAUAAGGUUGAGCGAUCUGAUCUGACAAAUAUUAUAAGUGCUACACUCAUGAACUUUUCAUCCAUCAAAUUUGUCUUGCUCACUAUGCUUAAGGUUGGAGACGAACAAAUACACUUUAGGUUCUGUUGGUGUUUUCCACCAACAGGACCCAUGCACUUGAUCUCUGCCUUGUCUCUAUGAGCAGGUACACUUCGAGCAAAACACGGAGGAGUUUUAUAACUCUCAGACUCUACCAAGUGAAGGACCUGGAUCUACGAGCACAAACACACUGAGCAGGAUACUGCCAAUGCCGCACUUCUAACUGCUGGGCAAACGAAGAGGUGCAGACGUCAAGGUCCGCGCCUGAAUCAAAUGACGCACCUGAAAAAUGAACACGGUGAGAAGUCUUGUUAAGAAGACUUAAAACAUUGAACCCUCGCCGAAAGGUAAGAUCAGUAGUUAUCCAUAUUUAUCAUUUCUGCAUUCCCUUUUCCCUUUAAUUAUUUACUUUCCUUAAAUAGAUUAUUAGUUAAUCAUGCUAUCUUGAAAAGAAAAUAAAAAUGUUAAAAAAAUACUAAGCCCCAUGUGAGUAUAUGAGUGGCAUAAAACCCAUAAGUACCUUCACUGUGGUGGCAUAAAAAUAAAAUAAAUAUUUCUUUUCUGCUUUAUAAAAUAAAAAUAUAAAAAUAGGGAGUAAUAUUUAUUGAGGAAGCUCAAUAUGAUGAAGGCUAGAUAUUUAUGUUAACACUUAAUUAGUUCCACAAGCUUUGUUGUCUAUUUGAGCUCCACAAAAUUUAAGAAUCAAGAAGACUAGCAGACGGAGGACAUUCUAAUCGCUGUCAGAAUGCUGCUGACGUUCAAAUACACCUCUGCCACCUGCUAGCUACAUCAAGAGAAAUUACGUCAAAAUUCAGCUUGGGGGAGAGCACCCCCAUUUAUCUCGCUAAAUAUUUCUACCUAUCUUUAUAAUUAUAUUAUGUUAGAAUAUUAAAAUACAUAAGCUAUGAAAAACCAAAUAAAGAUUUUGUGCUUAUAUAUAUCUUUUGCUUAGUGUGUUUAAUAAAUAAAUAAAGUGGCUAUGCUAAUCUGAAUCUUAAUAAUAAAACUCUAGCAUGGAUAUGAUGAAUAGUUGCUCUGCCUAAUUUGCACAUUUGAAGUUCUCUCUCAAGUUUAGACAUAACUGUUAUAAUUUAAAGCUUGCUCUAGAUCUAAACUUGUGGGAUGAAAACUUGAUCUGAAAUCUAAGUUGUUAACAGAUAUGAUAUGGGAAG